UACAGAGGUCCCGAGCGUUGUUCGGAUUCAUUGGGCGUAAGGGGUGCGUAGGCGGCGGGGAAAGUCUGAUGUGAAAUCCUGGGGCUCAACCCUGGAACUGCAUUGGAUACUUCCUUGCUAGAGUACUGGAGAGGAAACUGGAAUUUACGGUGUAGCAGUGAAAUGCGUAGAGAUCGUAAGGAAGACCAGUGGCGAAGGCGAGUUUCUGGACAGUUACUGACACUGAGGCGCGACAGCGUGGGGAGCAAACAGG
rnacentral:rRNA from 1 species